rnacentral:lncRNA from 1 species
GACUCCCCCUGUAUUUUUAUUCUAUUCACAUAGAGCUGUAAAUAAGGUGCAUUCCUUCUGCUUAAGAAAUUAGCAUUUCAAAAAUAUGCCACUUUCUCCUGAACUCCAAGCGUGUCUAAUAAUGCGAGAAGCAGAUUGUCUUCCCUCGUUUCCUUAAUUUGUUUCAUCUAAAAGCAAUUCACUCAACAUCUUGUCGCCCUCUGGCAGCUUAGUUUACUUAUCCGCACUUAAUUUCUCAUUUGGACCAAAACAAACUCCUCCAAACUGCUACUGACUGCUAACCGCAAGAGGGGAGACGCGCAGUAUGUAUCUACUGGGGUACAUGCAGGCACAAACAUACGCAGGCACAAACACAAGGUGAGCCGCAAUCACACUCCAGACUGUAGCUUGGUUUUACAAUAGCACUACAUGAAAAUCAGCUGAACUUUCCCUGCCAGGUGCGGCGGGGUAGGGAUAGGGGUGGGGGAGGAUAAAAAAAGAAGUCCCCAGGGCAUUUACAGUUUGCAGUGGAUCAUCUUAGUAUGCGUGCUGCACUUAUACCAUGGAUGCACCCGGGAGCUUUUCUUUAUGCAGCCCUUUCAUGUGUAUCACUUUGUGUUUUGAACAAGUGAGACUUGCCUUUGUGCCCCCAGAAUUUCAAGUGCAGAGUCACACAAGGAACAACAAUGGCACGCUAAUCCUCGCGCUCUAAAUGGGCUCACUUGUGGGUCUGACAAUUCGCCCUGGGAAGCGAGAAGGGACGGGACGAGCGAGGGCGCGAGCCGAAGUCGCCUGAGAUGAGGAAGAGGACAGCUGCAGAACUAAUUUGGAUUACAUUCCUUGCAGAAAUUCUGAAAAGGGCUUUUCGGCAUGGCUCAACCCGCAAGCCGCACAGUUAUUACCAAAUUGCUGCCGACUCGGAGCCGGGACCCCCGCGGGUGAGGCUGAACCACAUAGCCCCUCGGAGCAACAAAAACAAUAUAAAAAGUAUAUGGGUGCUUAAAAAUUACACCGUUCUGCCUCUUCAAUCAUCAUCUGAGACCUUCCCUGUAUCUUUUAUCUAUAUUCCCAUCCCUUAAGAAUUCCCAUGGACGUGAAAACAGAACAGCAGUCGCACCCCAGAAGCCUGAAGCCUUCAUUCUCUUAGGCCCACAACAAUUAGGAAGCCUUGAGAAGAGGCCAAACAAACUGAGCAUGCUGUCUUAUCCAGAAGCAGCCUAGGGCGGAGAGAAAAUAAACCUAGAGCAGAUGAUGGUGACUUGACCAGAAUGGUACUGAUUGUAGCAGAACUGUGCACACUGCUCUUUGGGAUCAUCUUUUCCUAUUUUUAUUGUCUUGCCCCUCUGCUUUCUUUUCUGUUUUUCAAUUUUACCUCCAUGAAAGCUACUUUCUAAAAUUCUCAUUCUCCCCCAGGAUAAAACAUUAAGUGACAAAAACAAACUUCUUGCUUUUGGGAAAUCUGAAGUAUCUGUCUUUUUAAAAAAAAAAUCUUGUUUCUGAUGCUAAGAUUGUUGUAGGAAAUGAACGCGUAUUUUAGCUUAAAUUGCAGGAAAAACUAAAUUGUUUUUAGCUUGUUUUCUAUUUGUGUCACUUGUGAUAGUUUUUCCUUCCCUAUUAAUUUUAUAGCGCUUGUGUGACAGAAACUCUCCUAUACACCUUGGUCUCAUCCAUAGCUUCUGGAAUAAACUUAGCAAACAAAUGAUGGGUUUUAAUCAAUAUUCAUUGGUUAGAAAAAAAACUUGCUGUAUGUAUGUGAAUACUAGACAGCCCAUACAACAUAUCCACCAAUUAAAAUACCUAACACACCAUGAUUUUGCCUCGAAUGCUCUGCUUAUUCUGUGU